rnacentral:rRNA from 1 species
AGUGAACGCUGGCGGUAGGCCUAACACAUGCAAGUCGAACGGCAGCACAGUAAGAGCUUGCUCUUACGGGUGGCGAGUGGCGGACGGGUGAGGAAUACAUCGGAAUCUACUUUUUCGUGGGGAAUAACGUAGGGAAACUUACGCUAAUACCGCAUACGACCUACGGGUGAAAGCAGGGGAUCUUCGGACCUUGCGCGAUUGAAUGAGCCGAUGUCGGAUUAGCUAGUUGGCGGGGUAAAGGCCCACCAAGGCGACGAUCCGUAGCUGGUCUGAGAGGAUGAUCAGCCACACUGGAACUGAGACACGGUCCAGACUCCUACGGGAGGCAGCAGUGGGGAAUAUUGGACAAUGGGCGCAAGCCUGAUCCAGCCAUACCGCGUGGGUGAAGAAGGCCUUCGGGUUGUAAAGCUCUUUUGUUGGGAAAGAAAAGCAGCAGGUUAAUACCCCGCUGUUCUGACGGUACCCAAAGAAUAAGCACCGGCUAACUUCGUG